GAUGACGUCGGGCGGCGCUCCGUACCCCUGUGCCAUACCAUCUUGUUGCCUCGGCGGAUCAGCCCGCUCCCGGUAAAACGGGACGGCCCGCCAGAGGACCCCUAAACUCUGUUUCUAUAUGUAACUUCUGAGUAAAACCAUAAAUAAAUCAAAACUUUCAACAACGGAUCUCUUGGUUCUGGCAUCGAUGAAGAACGCAGCAAAAUGCGAUAAGUAAUGUGAAUUGCAGAAUUCAGUGAAUCAUCGAAUCUUUGAACGCACAUUGCGCCCGCCAGUAUUCUGGCGGGCAUGCCUGUUCGAGCGUCAUUUCAACCCUCAAGCACAGCUUGGUGUUGGGACUCGCGUUAAUUCGCGUUCCCCAAAUUGAUUGGCGGUCACGUCGAGCUUCCAUAGCGUAGUAGUAAAACCCUCGUUACUGGUAAUCGUCGCGGCCACGCCGUUAAACCCCAACUUCUGAAUGUUGACCUCGGAUCAGGUAGGAAUACCCGCUGAACUUAAGCAUAUCAAAGCCGGGGAGGAAA
rnacentral:rRNA from 1 species